rnacentral:rRNA from 1 species
GACGAACGCCGGCGGCGUGCCUAAUACAUGCAAGUCGAACGCUUCUUUCCUCCCGAGUGCUUGCACUCAAUUGGAAAGAGGAGUGGCGGACGGGUGAGUAACACGUGGGUAACCUACCCAUCAGAGGGGGAUAACACUUGGAAACAGGUGCUAAUACCGCAUAACAGUUUAUGCCGCAUGGCAUAAGAGUGAAAGGCGCUUUCGGGUGUCGCUGAUGGAUGGACCCGCGGUGCAUUAGCUAGUUGGUGAGGUAACGGCUCACCAAGGCCACGAUGCAUAGCCGACCUGAGAGGGUGAUCGGCCACACUGGGACUGAGACACGGCCCAGACUCCUACGGGAGGCAGCAGUAGGGAAUCUUCGGCAAUGGACGAAAGUCUGACCGAGCAACGCCGCGUGAGUGAAGAAGGUUUUCGGAUCGUAAAACUCUGUCGUUAGAGAAGAACAAGGACGUUAGUAACUGAACGUCCCCUGACGGUAUCUAACCAGAAAGCCACGGCUAACUACGUG